CCUGCAAAGGAGGAAUAAUAUAACCGCACCAGCGAGGGUAUUUCAACCUGAGGCACGCAGAGACUAAAGGAACAACCCCAAGACUGACCCGGGUUAGGUUAGUCCAAUCUGUUUCCACUUAGCUGUCUGGUUUGGGUUUGUACAGUUUGUUAUCGUAAACCCUGAUCUUGUUUGUGUUCCCACAGCCGUCUGUACAAUAGCACUUCUUCACACUGGAGGAAGCGUGUUGGCUGCCGAUCAGAGCGCCAGUAUGAGCAGCACCUGUCACGUACAUGUCAUACAUUGAAAAUCAGGUAAAUAAACAAGUAUUAGACGCUAAAUUGAAAACUUAAAAAAAGGAAAGUUUAGA